rnacentral:rRNA from 1 species
GACGAGCGCUGGCGGCGUGCUUAACACAUGCAAGUCGAACGGAAAGGCCCUGCUUUUGUGGGGUGCUCGAGUGGCGAACGGGUGAGUAACACGUGAGUAACCUGCCCUUGACUUUGGGAUAACUUCAGGAAACUGGGGCUAAUACCGGAUAGGAGCUCCUGCUGCAUGGUGGGGGUUGGAAAGUUUCGGCGGUUGGGGAUGGACUCGCGGCUUAUCAGCUUGUUGGUGGGGUAGUGGCUUACCAAGGCUUUGACGGGUAGCCGGCCUGAGAGGGUGACCGGCCACAUUGGGACUGAGAUACGGCCCAGACUCCUACGGGAGGCAGCAGUGGGGAAUAUUGCACAAUGGGCGGAAGCCUGAUGCAGCAACGCCGCGUGCGGGAUGACGGCCUUCGGGUUGUAAACCGCCUUCGCCUGUGACGAAGCGUGAGUGACGGUAAUGGGUAAAGAAGCACCGGCUAACUACGUG